UUUUUUAUAAAAAUAAUUUAUUUAUUUAAUGUUUUAGUAUUUAGUAAAAAUUAAUUUUUAGAUUUAUAGUUUAAUAGUAUUGUAAAAGAAAUUAAUUAAAUUUGAAAAAGAAUAUUUUUAGUACCCUUUUGUAUCAGGGUUGAUUAAAAUUUUUAAUUUUUUUUUAAUUUCUCAAAAUUUAUAGAGUUAAUUUUAUUAUUAAUUUAUUGUGUUAUAAAUAUUUAUAAAAUAAUAUUAGUUUUGAAAUUUAAUUCGUUAUAUUAUAUUUAGUUAUUUAAGAUUUAAAUUUAAUUUAUAAUUUUAAAAGUUAUAUUGAUUUUAUAUAUAAAUAUUUUAAAUUUGAAUUAUUUUAGGGAUAAGCUUGAAAUUUUUAUAUAAUAAUUUAUUUAUUUUAAUAAUUUAUAGGAAUAGAAAUUUUUAUUUUAAGUUUGUAAAAAUUUAUUAUUUAUUUAUUUUUAAUUUAUUAUAAAUUUAUUUAUUUUUUUUAUUAAAUUUUAUUAAUUAAUAUUUAAUUUUUAGUAAUAAUGAUUAAAUUAGUAUAAUUUAAAUUUAUAAAUUAUGAAUUCGGCAAAAAUUAUUUUCAUCUGUUUAACAAAAACAUUGUAUUAAGUUUUAUUUAAUAUAGGAUCUGCUCAAUGAUUUAUUAAAUAGCUGCAGUAUUUUGACUGUGCAAAGGUAGCAUAAUAAUUAGUCUUUUAAUUGAGGACUUGUAUGAAAGAUUUGAUGAGAAAUAAACUUUAUUAUUUAUAAAAUUAAAAUUUUAUUUUUAAGUAAAAAAGCUUAAAUUAUUUAAAGGGACGAUAAGACCCUAUAAAACUUUAUAAAUAUUAAUUUUAAUUUUUUUGGAUUAAUAAAUAUUUUAUUUUUAUUAUUUAUUUUAUUGGGGUGAUAAAAAAAUUUAUUAAACUUUUCUUAAAAUUUUACAUCAUUUAAUGAAUAUUUGAAUUAAAAUUUUUAAUUAAAGGAAAAAGUUACUUUAGGGAUAACAGCGUAAUUAGUUUUUUAAGUUCAAAUUUAAAAAUUAGUUUGCGACCUCGAUGUUGAAUUAAGAUUAAUCUUAGGUGCCCAAUUUUAAGUAUUAGGUCUGUUCGACC
rnacentral:rRNA from 1 species